rnacentral:rRNA from 1 species
GCCGUUUCUGUUGAUUCAGAAUAACUAAGCUGAUCGCAUGGGCUUGUCCCGGCGACGUGUCUUUCAAGUGUCUGCCUUAUCAACUUUCGAUGGUAGUGUACGUGACUACCAUGGUGUUGACGGGUAACGGAGGAUAAGGGUUNGACUCCGGAGAAGGGGCCUGAGAAAUGGCCACUACGUCUAAGGAUGGCAGCAGGCGCGCAAAUUACCCACUCUCGGUUCGAGGAGGUAGUGACGAAAAAUAACAAGGCCGUUCUCUUUGAGGCCGGCCAUUGGAAUGGGUACAACUUAAACCCUUUAACGAGUAUCAAUGAGAGGGCAAGUCUGGUGCCAGCAGCCGCGGUAAUUCCAGCUCUCAAAAUGCAUAGAACCAUUGCUGCGGUUAAAAAGCUCGUAGUUGGAUCUGUGCCGGCGACGNGGUCCGCCCUAACCGGCGGUACUGCGCUCGUCGGCUUUGGGCCGGUCUUCGGUCGGUCGCCUUCACUGGCGGCCGCUCGUGGCUGGCUGGUUUACUUUGAGCAAAUCAGAGUGCUCAGCACAGGCGUCUCGCCGGAAUGUUCGUGCAUGGAAUAAUAGAAAAGGAUUUCGGUUCUCUUUUAUUGGUUUUGUGAACUGAGAUAAUGGUUAACAGAGACGGACGGGGGCAUUCGUAUUGCUGCGUGAGAGGUGAAAUUCUUGGACCGCAGCAGGACGGACUACAGCGAAAGCAUUGCCAAGCACGU